rnacentral:rRNA from 1 species
AGAGUUUGAUCCUGGCUCAGAACGAACGCUGGCGGCAUGCCUUACACAUGCAAGUCGAACGGCAGCACGGGAGCAAUCCUGGUGGCGAGUGGCGAACGGGUGAGUAAUAUAUCGGAACGUGCCCAGUCGUGGGGGAUAACGUAGCGAAAGCUACGCUAAUACCGCAUACGAUCUAUGGAUGAAAGCGGGGGAUCGAAAGACCUCGCGCGAUUGGAGCGGCCGAUAUCAGAUUAGGUAGUUGGUGAGGUAAAGGCUCACCAAGCCGACGAUCUGUAGCUGGUCUGAGAGGACGACCAGCCACACUGGGACUGAGACACGGCCCAGACUCCUACGGGAGGCAGCAGUGGGGAAUUUUGGACAAUGGGCGCAAGCCUGAUCCAGCAAUGCCGCGUGCGGGAUGAAGGCCUUCGGGUUGUAAACUGCUUUUGUACGGAACGAAACGGUGAGCUCUAAUACAGUUUGCUAAUGACGGUAC